AUUGAACGCUGGCGGCAGGCCUAACACAUGCAAGUCGAGCGAGCGGCGGACGGGAGAGUAAUGCCUGGGAAUUGCCCUGUCGAGGGGGAUAACAGUUGGAAACGACUGCUAAUACCGCAUACGAUUGGAUUGCCCAGGUGGGAUGAGCUAGUUGGUGAGGUAAUGGCCCACCAAGGCGACGAUCCGUAGCUGGUCUGAGAGGGUGAGCAGCCACACUGGAACUGAGACACGGUCCAGACUCCUACGGGAGGCAGCAGUGGGGAAUGUUGGACAAUGGGGGCAAGCAUGAUGCAGCCAUGCCGCGUGUGUGAAGAAGGCCUUCGGGUUGUAAAGCACGUUCAGCGAGGAGGCGUUACUCGCAGAAGAAGCACCGGCUAACUCCGUGCCAGCAGCCGCGGUAAUAC
rnacentral:rRNA from 1 species